UGUUUGAAAAGUGGAAUAAUUAUUAUAAAAUACAUUUUAAAUAUUGGAAUUUUAUAAGCUGCGUAGAAAAUUGAGGAUUUUCAAGGUAGAAAAGGAGAAUUAUCAUUUGAAAAACAGAAGUUUGUGCGUUGUGCUUAUUUCCACGGGAUAGGUAAUACAAAAAUCCCACGACUAAAAUCUUUAGGUGAGCAUUUCUGGGUGAAUCACCCUGUAUUAUAUCAUCGUAUUCGAGGACUUAGAGGACGGCAAUCCGAUCGAUUUUCCUGGGGCCGGAGAAUCCUGUCGAUCCGUUGCUGCGAAUCAUCCCAGAUAAAAUGUGCGACAUCGUCGGGGAACGGUCUUCGUCGUGGCUGCUACAGUAGCAUCAACAGCAGCCGGACCACCCGGCGGUGGCGGAUCGCGACAUCAAUCAUUACACGCGUGGCGGCGGUCCUGCGCACGUGCACGCUCAAGCAUCCACUGGACCAUCCGCACGUGCCGCCCCGAACACGCCACAUGGUACUCAACCGCGGCCCGAAGCGUCGCACUGCAAUCCGGACGUAAUCAUUUCAAAUGGUCCCGUACACGUGUAAUCCCCGGUCCUGUAAAAGCGGUCCGCCUUUUAUUCGCCAGACAAACGACGCGUGACUUACUG